AGAGUUUGAUCCUGGCUCAGGAUGAACGCUGGCGGCGUGCCUAACACAUGCAAGUCGAACGGAGUUACGAUGAAACCUAGUGAUUCGUAACUUAGUGGCGGACGGGUGAGUAACGCGUGGAUAACCUGCCUUGCACUGGGGGAUAACACUUAGAAAUAGGUGCUAAUACCGCAUAAGCGCACAGAGCCGCAUGGCUCAGUGUGAAAAACUCCGGUGGUGUAAGAUGGAUCCGCGUCUGAUUAGCUGGUUGGCGGGGUAGAAGCCCACCAAGGCGACGAUCAGUAGCCGGCCUGAGAGGGUGAACGGCCACAUUGGGACUGAGACACGGCCCAAACUCCUACGGGAGGCAGCAGUGGGGAAUAUUGCACAAUGGGGGAAACCCUGAUGCAGCAACGCCGCGUGAGUGAAGAAGUCAUUCGUGAUGUAAAGCUCUAUCAGCAGGGAAGAAAAUGACGGUACCUGAGUAAGAAGCCCCGGCUAACUACGUA
rnacentral:rRNA from 1 species